GGGUUGGACGUGUUGGGUGAGUAGGAAGGAGACAAUUAUCUUGGAAAGUUGCGUAACUUGUUUUUCCUACUUUAGGGAAAUCAUUUUUCUCUUUUAACUUCCCUCAUUUUCAAGAAAUUUGUUUUCCGAGAAAAUUUUUCCAGAAAAUAUUUUCCUCCAUACUAAACACACUCUUCGCGUUUAUCUGUUUUCUGAAGAUUACCACUUAGGCAAAAGUUUGACAAGUCAAUUUGGGAACUAAUUUUUUCAGCUUACCCAUAUGUCAAAAUAUGGUUCUCUCAUUCAGUUUGAUGAUCUGAAACUUAUGGAUUCUUACACAAUGAUAUCAAGUUAAUAUACAUUAGUAAUUAGAUUCACAAUUAUAUAUUUAUACUCCAAAUAAAAGGUCUCUGGGAAAAGCUAUGGUUCACUCACACGAACCCAUAACUUAUAAGCUAGGUACAUCCAUGUUCCCAUUGCUUGGUUGUUUAAUUGAAUUUUUAUCAAGAGAUGUAUUCCCUAGAUAUUUCCAUUUUUGAUGAUCACUCAAGGAACUAGUUCAAUCGGAAACAAUCUCUCUACCUCACUUCUGAGGUAGAGGUAAGAUCUGUGUAUACUCUACCCUCCCCAGACCUUACUCUUUGGGAAUACACUGUAUAUGUUGUUGUUGUUGUACUCAAGGAACUAGUUCAAGUGGAAAACCUAGUUUAACUCUCUUAGUGCCUUACUAGUUCAAGUGGAAAACCUACUUUUACUCUCUUAGUGUCUUACAUUUUGUUCUAGAUUUGUCGAAAUGACUGGUUGCUGCUCCUGUUCAUUGGAUAAUAACUGAUGUUGUCAAGAGAAAACAAGUUUUAGUCUUUCACAGCAGGAUGUAACAAUAUCUUUAAAAUAUUUAGUUGUUCACAACAGGGCGUAAUGUCAAAUUAUCUUUAAUUUUGAGAAUUAUUUAUCUAGAUUGUGCUCUUAUCAAACCUUUGAGGCUGAUUUUAUUUUGUUGAUAUGGUUGCUUAGAAUGGGGACCUUAACCAGGCAUCUUCCUGUCUCUUCGUUUUUAUGUAGUUAAAUGAUGCAAUUUUUUCUCCACUUCAGUUAGCUCUGUUAUUCCUGCUUGUGUAAACAUCAUUCAUUUUUCCUGUCAUCUAGACGUGCUGUACGCGUUUUUAUCUUAAAUUUAUCUGAUAUUACAGUAAGAUUAUCAGUGGAAAAUAGGUCUAAAGAUGCGGGCCAUGGAGGCAAAAUCUCAAUACCCUAUGAUCAAUUAUUUACAUCCCUAUGCUGCAAGUAAUGGUCAAUAUCCUAUGAUCAAUAUCUGAUAUUGCACUAAGAUUAUCAGUGGAAAAUAGGUCUAAAGAUGCGGGCCAUGGAGGCAAAAUCUCAAUAUCCUAUGAUCAAUUAUUUACAUCCCUACGCUGCAAGUAAUGGUCAAAAUCCCAUGGACAAGCAUCAGGGAAGCCUAUGUUUGCAAAAGUACACUUAAAAGGGACUUGUUUGUAUAAAGAGAUGACAGUGGAAGCUACUUCCUACAAAACUACUUCUGGGCCAGAGGAGAGUGACGAGGAGCAAUCAGUGGAAGAGGACGAUGGGGGUGCGUCAAAAGAGGAUGUUGUAGAGGAGGUGGUGGUUACAAAGCAGCAAAACUAUGGUGUUGGACACAAAGAGAAUGUCUGAGUUGUGGAGAAUGAGAUCUCUUGUGGUUUGAGUUCUGCUGCCAAACUUGAUGAGCGUCUAGCACAAGUUGAGGAACGAUUAGAUAAAAUGGAGGCUCAUUCAGAAAAAAGUGGAGACAUUGUUGGUUGAUAUUAACGAAAAAUUGAACUAUUUAUUGGAGAUGCAGGAUGCUAAAGUUUCUAGGGACAUUAGAAGUCCAUCUAAGUACAUGAGCUCCUCGUGGACUGGUAAUGGCCGAUCAAAGAGGAAACAUAGAGUAGCUGAGACAAUAAGGCAGUCUUGCAAGCAUCGACGUUUGGGAAAAGGUGAUAAGACAGUAGUUCAUCCAGUUACUUUGCCUGAUGAUUGUGUCAAAAAUGACCAAAGGAAGUUAGAUGAUGAAGAACAUAAUGUUUGAUGAUAAUUACUUAUGUUUUUUUCUCCCAACUCUGAAGAUUGUUCUGUCUUGCACAAUCUGUAUUGUAAAACACUAUAUGGCCAUUAUCAAUGCAAUACUUCCAUUUUACUGUAA